rnacentral:rRNA from 1 species
AACGUAGGACACAAGCGUUAUCCGGAAUUACUGGGCGUAAAGGGCGUGCAGGCGGUUGCGUAAGUUUGGCGUGAAAGACUUCGGCUAAACCGGGGGAGGUCGUCUGAUACUGCGCAACUAGAGUAUGGUAGAGGCGUGUAGAAUUCCGGGUGUAGUGGUGAAAUGCGUAGAGAUCCGGAGGAAUACCAGUGGCGAAGGCGGCACGCUGGGCCAUAACUGACGCUAAGACGCGAAAGCAUGGGUAGCGAACGGG